AAGAUCAAAAUAGUUAAGCUUCCACAUAUGAGUGAGAACCUGCAAUGGUUAGCUUUCUUUUCCUGGCUUAUCUCACUCACAUAAUGUCAUUAGUUUCAUUCAUAUUA